GACGAACGCUGGCGGCGUGCCUAAUACAUGCAAGUAGGACGCUGAAGGAGGAGCUUGCUCUUCUGGGUGAGUUGCGAACGGGUGAGUAACGCGUAGGUAACCUGCCUGGUAGCGGGGGAUAACUAUUGGAAACGAUAGCUAAUACCGCAUAAUAGUAGAUGUUGCAUGAUAUUUACUUAAAAGGUGCAAUUGCACCACUACCAGAUGGACCUGCGUUGUAUUAGCUAGUUGGUGGGGUAACGGCUCACCAAGGCGACGAUACAUAGCCGACCUGAGAGGGUGAUCGGCCACACUGGGACUGAGACACGGCCCAGACUCCUACGGGAGGCAGCAGUAGGGAAUCUUCGGCAAUGGACGAAAGUCUGACCGAGCAACGCCGCGUGAGUGAAGAAGGUUUUCGGAUCGUAAAGCUCUGUUGUAAGAGAAGAACGAGUGUGAGAGUGGAAAGUUCACACUGUGACGGUAUCUUACCAGAAAGGGACGGCUAACUACGUG
rnacentral:rRNA from 1 species